rnacentral:rRNA from 1 species
GAAGAAGGGGGCUAGCGUUGUUCGGAAUCACUGGGCGUAAAGCGCACGCAGGCGGAUCGAUAAGUCGGGGGUGAAAGCCCGGGGCUCAACCUCGGAAUUGCCUUCGAUACUGUCGGUCUCGAGUCCGGGAGAGGUGAGUGGAAUUCCUAGUGUAGAGGUGAAAUUCGUAGAUAUUAGGAAGAACGCCAGUGGCGAAGGCGGCUCACUGGCCCGGUACUGACGCUCAGGUGCGAAAGCGUGGGGAGCAAACAGG